GGGUUGUGAGGUUAAGCGACUAAGCGUACACGGUGGAUGCCCUGGCAGUCAGAGGCGAUGAAGGACGUGCUAAUCUGCGAUAAGCGUCGGUAAGGUGAUAUGAACCGUUAUAACCGGCGAUUUCCGAAUGGGGAAACCCAGUGUGUUUCGACACACUAUCAUUAACUGAAUCCAUAGGUUAAUGAGGCGAACCGGGGGAACUGAAACAUCUAAGUACCCCGAGGAAAAGAAAUCAACCGAGAUUCCCCCAGUAGCGGCGAGCGAACGGGGAGCAGCCCAGAGCCUGAAUCAGUGUGUGUGUUAGUGGAAGCGUCUGGAAAGGCGCGCGAUACAGGGUGACAGCCCCGUACACAAAAAUGCACAUGCUGUGAGCUCGAUGAGUAGGGCGGGACACGUGGUAUCCUGUCUGAAUAUGGGGGGACCAUCCUCCAAGGCUAAAUACUCCUGACUGACCGAUAGUGAACCAGUACCGUGAGGGAAAGGCGAAAAGAACCCCGGCGAGGGGAGUGAAAAAGAACCUGAAACCGUGUACGUACAAGCAGUGGGAGCACGCUUAGGCGUGUGACUGCGUACCUUUUGUAUAAUGGGUCAGCGACUUAUAUUCUGUAGCAAGGUUAACCGAAUAGGGGAGCCGAAGGGAAACCGAGUCUUAACUGGGCGUUAAGUUGCAGGGUAUAGACCCGAAACCCGGUGAUCUAGCCAUGGGCAGGUUGAAGGUUGGGUAACACUAACUGGAGGACCGAACCGACUAAUGUUGAAAAAUUAGCGGAUGACUUGUGGCUGGGGGUGAAAGGCCAAUCAAACCGGGAGAUAGCUGGUUCUCCCCGAAAGCUAUUUAGGUAGCGCCUCGUGAAUUCAUCUCCGGGGGUAGAGCACUGUUUCGGCAAGGGGGUCAUCCCGACUUACCAACCCGAUGCAAACUGCGAAUACCGGAGAAUGUUAUCACGGGAGACACACGGCGGGUGCUAACGUCCGUCGUGAAGAGGGAAACAACCCAGACCGCCAGCUAAGGUCCCAAAGUCAUGGUUAAGUGGGAAACGAUGUGGGAAGGCCCAGACAGCCAGGAUGUUGGCUUAGAAGCAGCCAUCAUUUAAAGAAAGCGUAAUAGCUCACUGGUCGAGUCGGCCUGCGCGGAAGAUGUAACGGGGCUAAACCAUGCACCGAAGCUGCGGCAGCGACGCUUAUGCGUUGUUGGGUAGGGGAGCGUUCUGUAAGCCUG
rnacentral:rRNA from 1 species